AUUGAACGCUGGCGGCAUGCCUUACACAUGCAAGUCGAACGGUAACAGGUCUUCGGAUGCUGACGAGUGGCGAACGGGUGAGUAAUACAUCGGAACGUGCCCGGUCGUGGGGGAUAACGAAGCGAAAGCUUUGCUAAUACCGCAUACGAUCUACGGAUGAAAGCAGGGGACCGCAAGGCCUUGCGCGAACGGAGCGGCCGAUGGCAGAUUAGGUAGUUGGUGGGAUAAAAGCUUACCAAGCCGACGAUCUGUAGCUGGUCUGAGAGGACGACCAGCCACACUGGGACUGAGACACGGCCCAGACUCCUACGGGAGGCAGCAGUGGGGAAUUUUGGACAAUGGGCGAAAGCCUGAUCCAGCCAUGCCGCGUGCAGGAUGAAGGCCUUCGGGUUGUAAACUGCUUUUGUACGGAACGAAAAGACUCUGGUUAAUACCUGGGGUCCAUGACGGUACCGUAAGAAUAAGCACCGGCUAACUACGUGCCAGCAGCCGCGGUAAUACGUAGGGUGCAAGCGUUAAUCGGAAUUACUGGGCGUAAAGCGUGCGCAGGCGGUUAUAUAAGACAGAUGUGAAAUCCCCGGGCUCAACCUGGGAACUGCAUUUGUGACUGUAUAGCUAGAGUACGGCAGAGGGGGAUGGAAUUCCGCGUGUAGCAGUGAAAUGCGUAGAUAUGCGGAGGAACACCGAUGGCGAAGGCAAUCCCCUGGGCCUGUACUGACGCUCAUGCACGAAAGCGUGGGGAGCAAA
rnacentral:rRNA from 1 species